ensembl:lncRNA
UCAAGCUUCCGGCGCGGUGAGCUGAGCCUGACGGGGGCCCUGUGCGAGGCGGGCGACACCUCAGCUUUCCUUUCCCCUUUUGAACUUUUUCUUAGAGGGAGGCUCCAGUCCGUCUGUAGAGGACGAGGCCGUGGGUUCGAGAAAUCCUCGUAGUGCUUCCUAGAGUGAACGCGGAGAAACAAGUUAAACCAGAAGCAACUUUAAAAAAUCUUCUAAGUCUGGUGGGCGUGUCCAAUGGUUUUGAUGUCAAGAUGAUGACAAAUUCUCUCCAGAGAUGGUGUAAAAUCCAACCAUUGACAAGCAGGUGAAUUUAGUUCAAAAGUUGUGUCUUUUCAUACUUUGAGAAUAUCUAAUGUUCUACUAGUUCCACAGGUAAGAUUUACCUACUGAUGAGGACUUUUAAAAUAUCAGUAAAUGACUUAAAAGAUUAGAAAGAAAGAAAAAGAGAGAGAGGGAGAGUUUUGGUUUUGGUUGAUUGGCUUUAAAAACCGUAUGAAUUCCUUUUUUAUAGAAGGUAAAAUUAACAGAUACUGAUGAAUCUAUAAAGAAUUAUAAAAGAGAAAAUAGUAAUCACCCUUAUUCCCACUGCCGAGAAAUAAACACUGCUGAUAUUUGGUUGUAUUCUCUUGUUGUUUCAUUUUUAACCAGCAAGAAUAAGGCCCUUUUCUGCUGUCCUGAUACCCUACAGAAUCUCAGCAAUGCAGACAACUGACUUUAGUUGAACAAUAGAAGACCUUUUGGGGUUUUUAAUCAUUAAAAAUAUAUUUUUACCCUCCAAUAUUUCUAGAUGUCCAGCAAUAUGUGCUUUGACUCCACUCAUAUUUUCCAUUUUUCCUCUCUUCUAGAAUAUUCCUGGAAUCUUCUACCACUCUACAGCACUAGUCUAAAAGAACACAGCUUUUAGAACUAAACUGGGAUCCAUCCAUGGCAACAGGUGCAGAGGAACCCAAGGAGAAUGAAGGCUGUUAUGACUCCACCCUUUGGAAAAACCUCUCUGAAGCCGCAAGCCACGCACAGAAGCCACGUUCACCCCGUGUCCUCAUUGGCCCGAAGCAGUCCCGCGCCUACGUUGAGACCUUUGGCAUCUGAAGACAGGUCUUUCUCCCUAGUCUGGGCCCCACCUCCAUCCUGGCUGGCUUCGCUGUCCAUGAGCCUGAACUCCACUGGCCCUCACCUUCCCAGGCAUGUGCUCUUUGGUUUCACCUAGACCUCCAGGCCUGUGACUUCCCCAUUUGCUCCUCACCCAGGAGGCACCUUCUGGCACAAAUUCAUUAUCUUCUUCUCAUGCCACCAACCCCCCACCUUCUGCCUCUUUGACCUCUGCCACAGCCCACCUGCCACACUUUGACUCUGGAUCAGUCCCGCUGUCCACCUUCUCUGCUCUCAUACUUGGGCAGGAUAUUGGUUAUCUGUUGCGCAUGACAAAUUACCCAAAAGCUUAACAGCUUCAAACAGCAAACACUUAUUAUCUCAUACAGCUUCUAUGAGCUUAGCUGGUGGCCAUGGUUCAGGUUCUCUCAUGAGGUCACAGUGACCAUGUUGGCCAAGGCUGCAGUCAUCUGAAGGCUUGACUGGGGGAAGGGUCUGUUUCCAAGAUGGCUCCACUCAUGGCUGUUAACAGGAGGCCUCAGCUCCUCAGCCACAAGGGCCUCUAGAUAGGAAUGCUUGAGCAUCCUUAUAACAUGGCAGCUGGCUUCCCCCAGAACAAGUGACCAAAGAGGAAGUCACAAACUCUUUUGUGACCUAAAGUUGCAAGUCACACACUGUCACUUCUGCUACAUUCUAUUCCUUAGAAGCAAGUCACUAAGUCCAGCCCACGGUCAAAGUUAGGAGAAUUAGACUCCCCCUUUUGAAGGGAGGAGUGUCAAAAAAUUUGUGGACAUGUUUUAAAACCACCACAGUUCACUUCCUUCUUCUCUUCUCAUGACAGCAAUCACUCUACUUUCCUGCCCUGUUGACUGCAGCCAGAGCCAACUUGUGAAAUUUUAACUCUGGAUCCAUCUUGUCACCUACCUUCUCUGCUUCUGCUCUUGGGCAGCUGAGCCCUGAUGGAGAAAAAUCCCACAAACGGGCCAGGGGGGCCAUGCUGAUGCAUCUUCUCCAGCCUAGCUGGGCUCUUCCUCCUUCUGGUGCAUCUUUUCUGUGACCCCAGGUGACUCUCACUGCUGUGUCUUGGACAUCCAAUAUGCACCUCUUUCCUCAGUACCCAUCCACCACGCACCACUCUCUCCCUCUCAGUGGGCAAUUUGCCUCUGACUCCAUUGAUGACAUCUGCUUCCUCCCCUUCUUUCACAAGUGAAUCUGUAUCAUAAACUAUUUUCCCUCCCAUCUUCAGGGAAGAAGGGCUUCUCUUCCUUUAUUCAAGCUUGAUCAUUCCUGAUCCAAUUCCCCAUCCUUCCAGCAAUCAGCACAUAUUCCUCUCAAUCUUUCCCCUUUCUACUGGGUUCCAUCUCCUACCGCCGCAACUAUGAACCAACUCAUGUUUGUUCCAGCCUUUUCUUUUUUUUUAAGACAAAACAAAAUAAUAAUCUAUUUUUGGGCAAUCUCCUAGCCCCCUCCCAAGACACACAUAGCUACCCUUCAGAGACUGUCCUAUAUCUCCUUCACUUUACAGCUGAGCUUCUAGAAAGAGUGGUCUGCACUCUUGGUUUCUUCUUCCACCCUGCCCACCACCACCCAACUCUCAACCCAUGGCAACCCUCCACCCUCACUGGCCCCCAUGAUACUGUCCAGGGCCACCACACAGCCAGCUCCACAGGCACUAGAUUGUCCUAUCUUGUAUGGCCUCCGAGUAGCCCUGGACGCCCUGGUGACACCACUUUCCCUUUUGGGUGGACCUCCUUACCCUACUUUCCUGGGGCUCCUUUGCUUCUUUCUAGAAUGUUCUUGGUCUCUCUGAGGAAUCUCAUCAAACUCAUGUCAUUCUCACCCAGGUUUCCUCCACUGCACUUCUAGCCCAGUCCUUGUUUAGGAGCUCAGAACUUAGUGCCCAGCUGCCCUUGGCACUGCUCCCACCAUGUCACACCAUGAAUCUUAACCUCAACAUGUCCAAAACUAGACUGACUACGUUUCCUCCCAAACUUGGCAUUCCUGUUCACCCAGUCGCUCAAGCUGGAACCUGGGAACCUUCCAACUUUCUCCCAUAUGAGCAAUUAAUUUAGUAAUCUUGGAAAACAAAGCAACAACAACAACAAAAAUGGCUGAGGCCAUACUGCUGGGAUUCACAGCUGCCUCUACCACCUCCCAACCCGCUAACACUGGGCAAGUCUCCUAACCUCUGCGCCUCUGUUUUCUCGUCUAUAAACUGGGCACAACAACAGUACCUACUUCACGAGGGUGCUGUGCCAGAGAGUAAGAGUGGAAUAAGGGUCGGCUCUGACCAUCAGUCCUCUUCGCCCCCAGGGACAAACACUGCCCAGAAGUGCUGCUGGUCAAGGUCUGGUCCACAGGCUAGGGCCAGUUUGGGAAAUGUUUGUCAUUGGUCUGUAAUUAGAUAAGUACAGAAGUUGAAAGUAAGCAUUUAAAACUGUUGUAUAGUAAUUUAACAGGAUAAUUUUAUACCUGUUGAACGUAAUAAGAAAAAAUUGAGCUUCACUUCACACCCAUUAGAACGGCUACUAUCAAAACGCAGAGAAUAACAAGUGUAGGUGACGAUGGCAGACACUGGGGCUCUUGUGCACCGAGGACGGGAAUGUAAAAUGGGGCAGCCACCGUGGAAAACAGUAUUGUGGCUCCUUGAGAAGUUAAAAAUAAAAUUACCAUAUGAUCUAGCAAUUCUACUUUGGGGUGUACCCCCAAGAACUGAACGCAGGGCCUU